AUUGAACGCUGGCGGAAUGCUUUACACAUGCAAGUCGAACGGCAGCACGGACUUCGGUCUGGUGGCGAGUGGCGAACGGGUGAGUAACAUAUCGGAAUGUAUCCAAUAAUGGGGGAUAACGAGUCGAAAGAUUCGCUAAUACCGCAUACGCCCUACGGGGGAAAGCUGGGGACCUUCGGGCCCGGCGUUAAUGGAGCGGCCGGUAUCUGAUUAGCUAGUUGGUGAGGUAAAGGCUCACCAAGGCGACGAUCAGUAGCUGGUCUGAGAGGACGACCAGCCACACUGGAACUGAGACACGGCCCAGACCCCUACGGGAGGCAGCAGUGGGGAAUUUUGGACAAUGGGCGCAAGCCUGAUCCAGCCAUUCCGCGUGAGUGAAGAAGGCCUUCGGGUUGUAAAGCUCUUUCGCAAGGGAAGAAAACUUAGCCACUAACAUUGGUUGAGGUUGACGGUACCUUGAUAAGAAGCACCGGCUAACUACGUGCCAGCCGCCGCCGUAA
rnacentral:rRNA from 1 species